AAAAUGAGAGAAUAAAUAUUCGUUUGAUUUCAGCAUCAAUUCGCACAUUGGUAUUUUAUAAAUCAUUUGAUCUAGACUUUGUCCUCUAGGAAAACUUUGCUCUAACUUCUCUCUAAAAUAUAUACAGCAACGGUAACUAUGCAAACAAAGGAACCCCUACCCCUCCCCCCGAUCCACCUUGCUGCAUCCAAAGAAAACCUAGCAGCAACCCAAUCUCAACCACAACCCACAACCCCACCUGAGCAAACAGUCAUUGGGACACCCACCACUCACAGCCCUCUUCUUUCGAUCUCUAUAUGAGAACCCAAUACCAAAACACAACUCCCUCAGAAUCAACCCAAAGUAUCCUCCAAUUUUGAUAGGCAAAUACAAAAAUUAGACAAGAAAAAAGAAACUAUAGUCUAUCAACAACAUCAAGAGUUGUGUCAAAACAUUGAGCACAAAAUGAUACCUCCCAAAUUCAAGACAGUUAUGGCACACAAAUGAAGGCUACAAUUCAGGAUGGAAAACAAGGCAUUCCAGUGGGUAAUAGAGGAAAUGAACAGUCGGUUUAUAAACCAACGUUCGCAGCAAAAGUUCAAGCCAAGCUAUUCAACGUCAAUGACAAAACACAGCAAGUUAGUAUUCGGCGUGGAACUCAUUUAGGUAAACAUGCGGUCUACUUUUCCUCCGAGGAUUACUUUAUUAAUUUAGCACAAGAAUGCAAAGAUACUCUUAUUGGAAAGUUCCAUCGGGAUUCACCUACAAUGGAUGAGAUUAGGAAAGUCUUUAUUAGACAAUUCCAAUUGAUUGGGUCUGUGAAAAUUGCUUUCUUCGAUUAUCGACAUGUCUACUUAGAUUUCACUAAUGAGGUGGACUACAACCAUGUUCUCUUUAAAGAAUUCGUUGACAUUGAUGAUCCUAUGAAAAUACUCAAGUGGAGUCCUUGUGUGGAUUCUAGUUCAUCAAUUACCAUGUCAUCUAUUCAAAUGACAUAUCAUCUCUAAAUUGGUAAGUGAUGUGGGAGUGGCCAUCGCACCUGAUCAAGCCACAUAUUCUAAAUCUCGUGGUAAUGUUGCUAAAGUUAAGGUUGAAAUAGAUCUACUGAAAUCAAGACUGGAUAAAAUCUGGCUAGGAUUUCAUAGGUUAGAUGGAUCUGAAGAUAGUAAGUGGCUAGACAUAGAGUAUGAAAAGGUUCCAAGAUAUUGUCUUUACUGCAAGAUGCAAGGUCAUCUUGAAUCUCAAUGCAGAAACAAAACGAUAGAGUUAAAGCUCAAAAGGAAGAACAAAACAAGAAAGAAAGAGAAAUCAGAUAAGAGAAGAAUUUCAAAGAUGAAGAUGGUUUCCAAACAGUCACUAGAAGAAGGAAUUCAAAUGCCAUGAAAACUGGUCAUUCUCAUCAACAAGAGUACAAGUGUGAUCAACCCGAAGAUUCAAAAGUGAAUAGAACCAUCAAGCCCUAUAAUCCAAAUAGAGGCAUUAGCAUAAAUAAACCCAAGGAGAAUGUCAACACUAAUGCUCUAAAGGAAGUACAAGGAAAAGGAAAGGAUAAAGUCUUCUCUGAUUGUCUUGCCCAAGAGGAGUCUCAUUUAAUUCAAAAUAUGCAGACCACUUCGCAAGGAAAUGGAUUGAUAAGAAUGCUUCUAACACCCAGUUGAAACAAAGGAUCAGCAAAACCAAGAAUGAUAAUGAGAAAUACAACGCCAAUAUCAGCACAAAUCAGGUUCAGAUUCAAAUUUCAGUUCGAAACAAAUAAAUAUAGGUCAAUCAUCACAAGAAAAGAAAACCACAAAUAACAAGCAAACUGAUCAAAAUACUCUCCGUCAGACCUCAAAACAGAAAGUUGCUCAAGAUAAGUAUCUCAAAUUGAUAAGUGGGACUACCUUGGAAAAUAAUCAAAGUGUGGAAACCAAAUUUCAUCUCAAACCUGGGGAACAAUCGAACAUUUCAGAAGGUGAGUAUAACAGCUUAUCUGAUGAAAAUUAUGUUGAUCAAGAAGAAAGUUCAGAUUAUAGUAGAGACUACGCUAGUUUGGACAGUGAGGAUAGCAACAGUGACAGCCAAAAAGAAGCUUUAAUAGAGAUUCUCAACUCCCGAGCUUUAGUGGAUGUCGCAGUGAAUAAUGCUUUUGAUAAUACCAUUACAUAUGGCCACUUAUCCCUAAAAGGCAGAGGUAGAGGCAGUGGAAGAGAUAAUAAUAGAAGGGGCAGAAAUUCAAUAAGAGACAGAGGAGGCAAUCAACAAUUCCAAUGGUCUGAUAAGACUUCAAAGGGUUCUAAUUCUCUCAAUGUUGAUCAUGUUAAAGUCUCUUUAUUGGAAUAUAAGGAGCAUAAAUUUUGGUGGUGCUCUAGAGAGACUUAAACAAUCUAUCAAUUCUGAAAAGUAUCAUAUCAUUGCUUUAGCUGAAUCUUUCCAAACUAUUGAUAAAUUUAAAAAAUACAGAAAACUGUUGGGUUAUCAAAAUGCAUGCUCUAAUAGUAACAGCCAAUUGUGGAUUUUUUGGGAUUCUAAUACUAAUUGUGUUAUUAAGGAGGAAGAUGAACAACAAAACUCUUGUGAAGUUAAUGUACAGGGUUCUAUCCUUUUAAUUAUCUACAUUUAUGCUAAAUGUGAUGCUAAUACAAGAGUUGACCUUUGGAAUAAGCUAAGGAGCAUAAGUUCAAACUACGAUCUUCCAUGGGUGGUUAGUGGAGACUUCAAUUGUAUUGUGGAUCUGGCUGAGAAAAAAGGAGGCACACCUCAUCGAAUGUCCAAGAGAUUGAUUUCAUGCAAUGCAUAAUGGACUGUAAUCUCAUUAAUGCAGGAUUAUCUGGAUCUCCUUUUACAUGGUGCAAUGGUUGGGCUCCUGACAGAAGAGUUUGGGAAAGGACAGAUAGAGUCCUUACUAAUUAUAAAUGGGUUAAUCUGUUUGACUCCACUAAUAUCAACUUCUCAUCAAAACAGGUUCUGAUCGUUCCCCUUUGUUCAUUACGGCAUCCAACCAUACAAGGAAUCAUAUCAAAUAUUUUAUGUUCCUAGAUUUUUGGACGAAAAAACCUGAUUUUCGAAGUGUUGUUGAAUGUGCCUGGAACAUUGAAGUGACUGGUACACCCUUAUGGAAAUUUCAUCUCAAGCUUAAGUAUGUUUCUAAAGCCUUAUCUGAUUGGUCAAGAAACGCGGUUAGGAACAUUUUCAAUACAAUUAAAGCUUAAAAAAAAGAGUGGCAGAUAUGGAGGCUAAGUCAAUCAUUGAUAAUUCUAAAUCUAUCAGAACAAUUCUUAAUUAUGCUAAUUUGAGCUUGUUCUUUCUUACAAAAAAGAAUAAUCCUUCGGGGGACAAAAAUCCGGCAUAAAGUGGUUUGUAGAAGGUGAAGUCAGUUCCAAGUUCUUUCACUCUGUGAUUAAAGGCAAAAAAAGACGACUUAACCUGACUACUAUUAAAGAUGAUCAAGGUGAGUGGAUAGUCGGGGAAGACAAUAUUGUUGAAGAGGCCAUAAAAUUCUUUAAAAAACAUCUCUAAAGAAGACACUGUCAAGGAUAGUAAAAUCAUGGAGUGUAUUCCAAAGUUGAUCACUGAGGAAGAUAACAUCAAUCUGAUUGCUCCUACUUCAUUGGAUGAAUUAAAAGACAUCGUAUUUUCCAUGAGCACUCAAAGUGCGCCAGGACCAAAUGGAAUCUCAGGGUUCUCUCAAUUAAAAUUUCCUUUUCAAUAUUUGGGGUGCCCCAUUUACAAAAGAAAGAAUAAAAUUGUUUACUUCAACAACAUGGUUGCCAAAGUUUCUCACAAGCUUCAAGGAUGGCAAGGUAAUUUUCUAUCUUACGGUGGCAAAGCUACCCUUAUCAAGUCUAUUUUAUAUUCCCUUCCUCUCCACCUACUGUCGGUUUUAUAUCCUCCUAAAGGUGUCUUAAAUAAAAUUGAGAAGAUCUUUAAUAAUUUUUUGGGGGCUUUGAGCAUAAUAAGAAAUAACAUCAUUGGAAAGCUUGGCAUGAUCUUUCUUACCCUAUUGUAGAAUGUGGUGUUGGUUUCAGGUCAUUAAGAGAUUUUUGUAACAUCUUUUCUGCAAAGAUUUGGUGGAAUUUCAAAACUAAACAUAGUCUGCUAAGACAUUUUCUUCAGACUAAAUAUUGCAAGAGAAAACAUCCGGUCAUGAGAAAAUGGUGUUAUAGCCAAUCUCAAAAUUGGAACUUAUGGAUGUGAAAAUUCAGGCUGAAUAAUCCAUUUUGUGGAAGAUCGCAAAAGGUAAUGUUUCCUUUUGGUGGGAUAACUGGCCAGGUAAAGGAGCCUUGGCUAAACUCAUUAAUUUUGAUAACGCUCCUAGAAGCAUCAAAGUGAAUGAUUUUUUUACUAAUACAGGUUGGAAUAUUUCUAGCCUUAAUGAUGAACUCCCUAGCAACAUCACUAAUGAUAUUAAGGAUAUACAAAUUCAUCCUAAUAUGAAUUAUUGGCCUAUUUGGACUGUUGAGUCUACAUGUGUUUUUUCUUGUAAAAGUACAUGACAUUUUAUGAGAGCUCACAAGGCUCAUUCUUUCACCUCUUCUAUCAUUUGGCACAAGAAAAUUCUGUUCAAGAUUUUGUUCUUUAUGCUUAGAAUGAUGGAAAAUAAAUUCCUACAAAUAUGGCUCUAAAAAACUAAAAUUCCUAUCCCGUCUAUGUGUUCUUGUUGCAAUAUUCAUGUAGAGGAAACUACUAUGCAUUUCUUUGGUAGGAGUCAAACUGCUACUCAAGUUUGGUCUUACUUUUGUUUGAGUUGUGGCAUCCAAUUUUGGCAACUUUAGACAAAUUGUCAUGUCUUGGUGGCUUGCUAUAACCAAGAAUAAGAUUCACAAAGCUUUUAUACAAUGUUUGUCUGCUAUAAUUAGUUGGUAAAUUUAGAAAAACAGAUAAAGUGCACUAUAUUAUUAAACAGGCCAUCAAAAUAAUGCAUAUGCUUAUCAAUAGUCUUUUUCCUAUCUUUAGCACUCAUCUUGGAUGGCGCAAACUCUGUAGCAAUAUUGAAACAGCUAAGCAGGUGAUCAAGAUCAAGAUCAAGAAGGUUCUAUGGAAGAAACCAGAUAGUGGUUGGCAUAAACUCAAUACAGAUGCUUGCAGCAUAGGUAAUCCAGGUAGUGCUGGAGGAGGUGGAAUCAUUCGAAACAGUGAUGGAAGUUUCAAGCUUGCAUAUACAUAAAAAUACGGAGUGUGUAGUAAUAAUGUAGCUCUAUUCUUCGAGGUGUAAAAAUAUGCUCUAUAAUGGGUCUCUCAACGUGAUUGUGAAAGCUGACUCCCAACUCAUUAUCAACAUGAUUAAUCACAAAAUGAAGAGUUUUUGGGAGAUUUUUUUAUGUUAUUGAUCAGAUCAACCAACUCUUCAGUGGAAAAAACUUUAUUUUUGUGCGUUCUUACAAAGAGGGAAGUAUAAUAGCUGAUCACUUGGCAAAUUUGGGAGAAUCUACUAAUGAGAAUCUCAUAAUAGACUACCUUAGUUUUCUCCCUCCAUCUAUCAGAGCUUUGUUGAGUUUGGAUCAACAAGAAAUUCCUAACUUCAGGUUCAAACAAAGAAAUAACCAUUUUGUGAAUAAUGAUGUUGGCCUUGGAUAGUUAUAUAUUGAUAUUGUCUUUUUGCAUAGCAUCCACUUGUAUAAGUGGUAGUAGUCCUUGGAAGACUAUCAUGAUCUUUAAGCUAAUGUUUUUGUCAAACUUGAGCAAAGAGAUAGUUUACCUCUU